GUGCUGUCGCAUAUUUAAUGAAGGGAUUAAACAACAGGUAUUUAAGGGAUGGGUGGGCCACUCUGGGCUUUGCUACAUCCUGUGUCUCUGUGAAUAGCUCUCUUGGGCCUCGUGGGAUCCAGGUGGCUGCAGCAUGGAUCUGAACUGCACUGGUGGCCUACUGGAAAAAGAAGCCCGGAGAAGGAGGAUUAUUCUAAACCAGAGUCAAAAGGACACCCUUCGUGUGUGGUUUGAAAAGAAUCCCAAUCCUGACUUAGCUACCAGGGGACAUCUGGCUAAGAAACUCGGCAUCUCUGAGUCUCAAAUAAUGACUUGGUUUCAGAAGCACAGAAAAAUACGGAAACAAGUAGAGUUUGAAUGUUGCUCUGAAGAAAGCCAAGAGCAAGGACAGGAUAAACCCAGAGUUAAAGAAGCUGGGAGGAGCAGGACGCAUUUCACAAAGUUUCA
rnacentral:lncRNA from 1 species